UUUGAGAGGCUGAGGCAGGAGGAUUGCUUGAGCCCAGGAAUUUAAGACCAGCCUGGGCAACAAAGUGAGACCCCCAUCUCUACAAAAA
rnacentral:miRNA from 1 species